AAAGAAACCAACAGGGAUUACCUCAGUAACGGCGAGUGAAGCGGUAACAGCUCAAAUUUGAAAUCUGGCUCUUGCAGGGUCCGAGUUGUAAUUUGUAGAAGAUGCUUUGGGUGCGGCCCUGGUCUAAGUUCCUUGGAACAGGACGUCAUAGAGGGUGAGAAUCCCGUAUGUGAUUGGGUGCCCGUGCCUGUGUAAAGCUCUUUCGACGAGUCGAGUUGUUUGGGAAUGCAGCUCAAAAUGGGUGGUAUAUUUCAUCUAAAGCUAAAUAUUGGCCAGAGACCGAUAGCGCACAAGUAGAGUGAUCGAAAGAUGAAAAGCACUUUGGAAAGAGAGUUAAACAGUACGUGAAAUUGUUGAAAGGGAAGCGCUUGCAACCAGACUUGCGCGCCGCUGAUCAUCUGGAGUUCUCUCCGGUGCACUCGGCGGUGCUCAGGCCAGCAUCGGUUUUGGUGGUGGGAUAAAGGCUGUGGGAAUGUGGCUCCUCUCGGGGAGUGUUAUAGCCCGCGGUGCAAUGCUGCCUACCAGGACCGAGGACCGCGCUUCGGCUAGGAUGCUGGCGUAAUGGUUGUAAGCGACCCGUCUUGAAACACGGACCAAGGAGUCUAACAUCUAUGCGAGUGUUUGGGUGUCAAACCCAUACGCGUAAUGAAAGUGAACGGAGGUGAGAACCCUCAAGGGUGCAUCAUCGACCGAUCCUGAUGUCUUCGGAUGGAUUUGAGUAAGAGCAUAGCUGUUGGGACCCGAAAGAUGGUGAACUAUGCCUAAAUAGGGUGAAGCCAGAGGAAACUCUGGUGGAGGCUCGCAGCGGUUCUGACGUGCAAAUCGAUCGUCAAAUUUGGGUAUAGGGGCGAAAGACUAAUCGAACCAUCCACACGAGGGUGCAGCUGCGCCAGGUGGUUAAGAGGUUAUUAAUGAAUAUCCUAGUCCUCCUCUUCGAGGACUACACUACCCAAUUGCGGGGACGUCCUGUUUUAAAUUCUUAGCUACCGCAGCCCUGACCGAAAGGAGGGUGCGCACCAGGCUAACAGCCUCGGGGAUGGUAAAAAUGCUAAGAUAGGGAUAAUCUGCAGCCAAGUCCUAAGGGUAGAGAUACCUAUGGAUCCAGUUCACAGACUAAAUGGUAGUGGGUCGAGCACGAUGCGAGGCCUAAGUUAUAGUCGAUCCGCUGGGAGACCAGUCGGUGGGCAAGAUACGCCUGUAGUUUAACGCAGCCGUCUAUAGCCUGCCGGGGAUACUAUUGGGGAGGAUGGUAUCCUGGGGAAGCCUAACCUUGCCCCAUUGAUCAAUAGGGGCUGGUUAGGCUUCA
rnacentral:rRNA from 1 species